AAACCCCUCAAGCCUAGCUUGGUGUUGGGGCCUGCCAUACUGGCAGCCCUUAAAAUCAGUGGCGGCGCCAUCUGGCUCUAAGCGUAGUAAUUCUUCUCGCUAUAGGGUCCUGAUGGAUGCUUGCCAACAACCCCCAAUUUUCUAU
rnacentral:misc_RNA from 1 species